rnacentral:rRNA from 1 species
GAGUUUGAUCGUGGCUCAGAUUGAACGCUGGCGGCAUGCCUUACACAUGCAAGUCGAACGGCAGCACGGGAGCAAUCCUGGUGGCGAGUGGCGAACGGGUGAGUAAUACAUCGGAACGUGCCCAGUAGUGGGGGAUAACCCGACGAAAGCCGGACUAAUACCGCAUACGACCUACGGGUGAAAGCAGGGGAUCGCAAGACCUUGCGCUAUCGGAGCGGCCGAUGUCAGAUUAGCUUGUUGGCGGGGUAAAAGCCCACCAAGGCGACGAUCUGUAGCUGGUCUGAGAGGACGACCAGCCACACUGGGACUGAGACACGGCCCAGACUCCUACGGGAGGCAGCAGUGGGGAAUUUUGGACAAUGGGCGCAAGCCUGAUCCAGCCAUGCCGCGUGCGGGAGAAGGCC